rnacentral:tRNA from 1 species
GUUUUAGUAAUUUGAGUAAAAUAUUGGUCUUGUAAGCCAAAUAAAAUUAAUUUUUUUAAAACU